CUUCGAGUUAUUUAUCAAUAUACAGAUAUACCUUGGAAAAUAUUGUGUGUUGGUUCAAUAUUUUCAUAUCCUCAGAAACUGACCCGAUAUAUAUCCGGAACACAAAACCCAUUACAGGACUGCAAUUUAUUUAUCCGCAAGAUUCGAAAGAAUUUUAAAUUGUAGUGAGUAUCGUAUUCAACCCCCCCUUCUACGAUACUUUGGACCUAACAAA
rnacentral:lncRNA from 1 species